rnacentral:rRNA from 1 species
UACGUAGGGUGCAAGCGUUAUCCGGAAUUAUUGGGCGUAAAGAGCUCGUAGGCGGUUUGUCGCGUCUGCUGUGAAAACUGGGGGCUCAACCCCCAGCCUGCAGUGGGUACGGGCAGACUAGAGUGCGGUAGGGGAGACUGGAAUUCCUGGUGUAGCGGUGAAAUGCGCAGAUAUCAGGAGGAACACCGAUGGCGAAGGCAGGUCUCUGGGCAUUAACUGACGCUGAGGAGCGAAAGCAUGGGGAGCGAACAGG